UACGAAGGGUGCAAGCGUUACUCGGAAUUACUGGGCGUAAAGCGUGCGUAGGUGGUUGUUUAAGUCUGUUGUGAAAGCCCUGGGCUCAACCUGGGAAUUGCAGUGGAUACUGGGCGACUAGAGUGUGGUAGAGGGUAGUGGAAUUCCCGGUGUAGCAGUGAAAUGCGUAGAGAUCGGGAGGAACAUCCAUGGCGAAGGCAGCUACUUGGACCAACACUGACGCUCAUGCACGAAAGCGUGGGGAGCAAACAGG
rnacentral:rRNA from 1 species